CAAUGAGAAGCUGGCGGUGGCAUCGAUAACUGUAGGCGGCACGUUGGACGAUUGUUGUUGAGCUGCCGAGGCUUGAGUGCGAAUGGCCUCUUAUCUAUUGUACCAUUCAAUAAGAUCACAGCUAAUCCGCCACCUGCUGAGAAGAUCAUCGAAGUCUCUCUUCCACCCACCUGAGAUAUUUAUCAGGAGCACUGCAUAUGCAGGGCCCUUAGCAUUGUCAAGGAUCCCUCCUGUCCAUCUCUCAAUUUGACCCUCUACCAUCAGGCACGAGGAUCUACUGGGAAAGUCUCAAAGAUUGACCAGUCGAUCGCAAUCGACGGGUUGGCAACCACUAAUUUAUAGCAUCAGGUGUAUGAUCAAGGUUUGAUUCCUGCCACUGUUUAGAAGAAUUUUGCAUAUUCUCUCCAUGACUGCUUGAGUUUCUUUCUGUUUUUCCUGUUUCCUCCCACAUUCCAAAGAUGUAUAGUUAGGGUUAGUGAGUUGUGGACAUGCAAUGUUGGCUCUGGAAGCAUGAUGACACUUGCAGGCUACUCAGUGCAAUAAUCACUGAUUUGAUUUCCUUGCUACUGUGUACAGUAAAGUAGAUAGUUCACAUCCAUGGUUAAAUUUAGUGGAGAUGAACUUUGGACAACAUAUCUGGACUAUUGCUAAUACCACCUUUUCUACCUCUGUAAUGUUGCCUGACACUCAACUGCCUUGGUUCAUUUGCUGCUGUAACUCUUAUCCUUUGUUACCCCAGGACUUAGCUGCAAUGACUGUGUCCUAAAAUGCCUACUUUCUUCUAUUGCCUGGAAUCUUGAGACAACCUAAAACUCAGCUUCCCACAUCCCAACUUGACCAACCACUGUUCACUCAUUGCCACUGAUUCUUUCUGACUUACAUUGACUAUUGUUAAAUGAUAUGCUGAUUUUAAAGUUCUCACCUUGUAUUCCUUUAUAAAAUUCUUCCAUGGUCUUCCACCUUUGAACUCCUGCAUUGCUGCAGAUGGAGACCAAGUCAUUGGGUACAUUUAAACCCAAGAAAGAAAUGUUCUUGAUUAGUAAGGGUAUCAAAGGUUAUGGGGAGAAAGCAGGAGAAUAGAGUUGAAAAGGAUAAUAAAUAAGCUAUGAUCGAAUGGCGGAGCAGAUUCAACAGGCCAAAUGGCCUAAUUCAGCUUCUAUGUCUUAUGUUCUUAUGCAAAUGAAACAUUUCACUCCAUGUUUCAAUGUACAUGUAAUACAUGAAGCUAACCAGCAUGAAGUUACCAACAAGUUACAAGUUACAAAAGUGAUCAAUAUGUUGGCCUUUAGUGCAAGAGGAUUUGAAUAUAAAGAGUGCUUCUUUCUCCUCAUUCCCUAUUCCUGAUUAUCAUCCUAACCCUCACAGUGGAAGAAUGGUUUUGUUUGUGCUUGCACGAGUAAGAGCUAUUAUGUCAUGAAUAACUAUAUGGUAUCUAAUCAGGGAUCCCAAUGACAGUUGCCCUUCAUCAUGAAUUUCCAUGUAUUGGAAAGUUUCCAGACAAUUGGGUCUUCUUGAUCUAUAUGGAUCAGUACAGCACACCAUUGUGUAUUUAUCAGCAUUGAGGGGAUAGCACACAAAUUACAAUAUCCCAUUGCA